rnacentral:ncRNA from 1 species
GGUUUCUGUGCCUCAAGGUGCAGAAUUAAAAGGGAAUCAGGUGCGAAUCCUGAACAGUACCCGCUGCUGUAAGUCCCACACUAAAUCCGAUGCAUCGGCUCACACAUUGCCACUGGUUGUAUCUCUCUUACAAAGGCUACAUCACAUUAUCCGGGAAGGCGUGAGCACGAUGGGGACGAGUCAGAAGACCUGCCCACAUUG